CACGUACUGUGCGAACGUUAUUCGGAAUCACUGGGCUUAAAGGGUGCGUAGGCGGUUUUCCAAGUCAGGUGUGAAAUUUUCAGGCUCAACCUGAAAACUGCAUUUGAAACUGGUCAACUUGAGGCAGCUAGGGGUGUGUGGAACUUCCAGUGGAGCGGUGAAAUGUGUUGAGAUUGGAAGGAACGCCGGUGGCGAAAGCGACACACUGGGGCUGUACUGACGCUGAGGCACGAAAGCCAGGGGAGCGAACGGG
rnacentral:misc_RNA from 1 species